rnacentral:rRNA from 1 species
GAUGAACGCUGGCGGCGUGCCUAAUACAUGCAAGUCGAGCGAACGGACGAGAAGCUUGCUUCUCUGAUGUUAGCGGCGGACGGGUGAGUAACACGUGGAUAACCUACCUAUAAGACUGGGAUAACUUCGGGAAACCGGAGCUAAUACCGGAUAAUAUUUUGAACCGCAUGGUUCAAAAGUGAAAGACGGUCUUGCUGUCACUUAUAGAUGGAUCCGCGCUGCAUUAGCUAGUUGGUAAGGUAACGGCUUACCAAGGCAACGAUGCAUAGCCGACCUGAGAGAAGGAGCGGCGACACUGGGACUGAGAAACGGUGCAGACGCAGACGGGAGGCAGAAGUGGGGAAUAGUGGACAAGGGGCGAAAUGCUGAUACAGCCAUACAGAGAGGGUAAAGAAGGCAUGCGUGUUGUAAAGACCUUUGGUUGGGAAAGAAAAGCAGCAGGUGAAUAACCCGCUGUUCUGACGGUACCUAAAGAAGAAGCACCGGCUAGCUUCGUG